rnacentral:sRNA from 1 species
UAAAAGUAUCGUCAAUGGAUAGGCAGCUAGGGUAUUUAUACCCUAUGCUGGUUGGACAUUAGGCGAUCUAACUCGUAUGAGCAAGUAAGGCAUUUGUUUGGAUUGCGAAUACGAGCAGCGAUGUCGAGAGUGCGUAGCACGCAGACAUCGACUUUUA